rnacentral:rRNA from 1 species
ACUCUCCUACGGGGGGCAGCAGUGGGGAAUAUCGCACAAUGGGGGAAACCCUGAUGCAGCAACGCCGCGUGAGUGAAGAAGUCAUUCGUGAUGUAAAGCUCUAUCAGCAGGGAAGAAAAUGACGGUACCUGAGUAAGAAGCCCCGGCUAACUACGUGCCAGCAGCCGCGGUAAUACGUAGGGGGCAAGCGUUAUCCGGAUUUACUGGGUGUAAAGGGAGCGUAGACGGCAUAGCAAGUCUGAUGUGAAAGAUCGGGGCUCAACCCCGGGCCUGCAUUGGAAACUGUUAAGCU